rnacentral:rRNA from 1 species
UACGGAGGGUGCGAGCGUUAUCCGGAAUCAUUGGGCGUAAAGGGAGCGUAGGCGGCGCGGUAAGUCAGAUGUGAAAUCCCGGGCUCAACCCCGGAACUGCAUCCGGUACUGCCGUGCUAGAGGAUUGGAGAGGUAGCUGGAAUUCUUGGUGUAGCAGUGAAAUGCGUGGAGAUCAAGAGGAACACUCGUGGCGAAAGCGAGCUACUGGACAAUAUCUGACGCUGAGGCUCGAAGGCCAGGGUAGCGAAAGGG